CACUACGGUGCUGAAGCAACAAAUGCCCUGCUUCCAGGAAAAGCCUCUAAGCAUCAGGUAACAUCAAAUCGUACCCCAAACCGACACAGGUGGUCAGGUAGAGAAUACCAAGGCGCUUGAGAGAACUCGGGUGAAGGAACUAGGCAAAAUGGUGCCGUAACUUCGGGAGAAGGCACGCUGACAUGUAGGUGAAGUGAUUUACUCAUGGAGCUGAAGUCAGUCGAAGAUACCAGCUGGCUGCAACUGUUUAUUAAAAACACAGCACUGUGCAAACACGAAAGUGGACGUAUACGGUGUGACGCCUGCCCGGUGCCGGAAGGUUAAUUGAUGGGGUCAGCGCAAGCGAAGCUCCUGAUCGAAGCCCCGGUAAACGGCGGCCGUAACUAUAACGGUCCUAAGGUAGCGAAAUUCCUUGUCGGGUAAGUUCCGACCUGCACGAAUGGCGUAAUGAUGGCCAGGCUGUCUCCACCCGAGACUCAGUGAAAUUGAACUCGCUGUGAAGAUGCAGUGUACCCGCGGCAAGACGGAAAGACCCCGUGAACCUUUACUAUAGCUUGACACUGAACAUUGAGCCUUGAUGUGUAGGAUAGGUGGGAGGCUUUGAAGUGUGGACGCCAGUCUGCAUGGAGCCGACCUUGAAAUACCACCCUUUAAUGUUUGAUGUUCUAACGUGGACCCGUAAUCCGGGUUGCGGACAGUGUCUGGUGGGUAGUUUGACUGGGGCGGUCUCCUCCUAAAGAGUAACGGAGGAGCACGAAGGUUGGCUAAUCCUGGUCGGACAUCAGGAGGUUAGUGCAAUGGCAUAAGCCAGCUUGACUGCGAGCGUGACGGCGCGAGCAGGUGCGAAAGCAGGUCAUAGUGAUCCGGUGGUUCUGAAUGGAAGGGCCAUCGCUCAACGGAUAAAAGGUACUCCGGGGAUAACAGGCUGAUACCGCCCAAGAGUUCAUAUCGACGGCGGUGUUUGGCACCUCGAUGUCGGCUCAUCACAUCCUGGGGCUGAAGUAGGUCCCAAGGGUAUGGCUGUUCGCCAUUUAAAGUGGUACGCGAGCUGGGUUUAGAACGUCGUGAGACAGUUCGGUCCCUAUCUGCCGUGGGCGCUGGAGAACUGAGGGGGGCUGCUCCUAGUACGAGAGGACCGGAGUGGACGCAUCACUGGUGUUCGGGUUGUCAUGCCAAUGGCACUGCCCGGUAGCUAAAUGCGGAAGAGAUAAGUGCUGAAAGCAUCUAAGCACGAAACUUGCCCCGAGAUGAGUUCUCCCUGAGACUUAGAGUCUCCUGAAGGAACGUUGAAGACGACGACGUUGAUAGGCCGGGUGUGUAAGCGCAGCGAUGCGUUGAGCUAACCGGUACUAAUGAACCGUGAGGCUUAACCUUACA
rnacentral:rRNA from 1 species